rnacentral:tRNA from 1 species
GGGGUUGUGGCUCAGUGGUAGACUGCUUGUCUNGAGACAGGUGGUAGACAGCUUUGUCUAGCAUGUGAGAGGCACUGGGUUUGAUUCUCAGCACCCCA